rnacentral:rRNA from 1 species
UUGACGCUGGCGGCAGGCUUACACAUGCAAGUCGAGCGGGGAAGUGUAGCUUGCUACAUUACCUAGCGGCGGACGGGUGAGUAAUGCUUAGGAAUCUGCCUAUUAGUGGGGGACAACAUUCCGAAAGGAAUGCUAAUACCGCAUACGUCCUACGGGAGAAAGCAGGGGAUCUUCGGACCUUGCGCUAAUAGAUGAGCCUAAGUCGGAUUAGCUAGUUGGUGGGGUAAAGGCCUACCAAGGCGACGAUCUGUAGCGGGUCUGAGAGGAUGAUCCGCCACACUGGGACUGAGACACGGCCCAGACUCCUACGGGAGGCAGCAGUGGGGAAUAUUGGACAAUGGNCGGAAGCCUGAUCCAGCCAUGCCGCGUG